CUCAAAACUGUACCAGGAGGCAUUAAUCUAGCUGGUAAGCUACCUCAGAGUGACACAAGAUGCCUGAACCUCAGCCAGAAAAGUGGAGGUCACUGCUCAUAAACACUGCAAGCAGAAUGAAAAAGUGGACCCUAAAAUUCGUAUGGAAUUGCAAAUGACCCCAGAGAGCCAAAACAGU